rnacentral:rRNA from 1 species
UAAUACGAAGGGGGCUAGCGUUGUUCGGAAUUACUGGGCGUAAAGGGCGCGCAGGCGGUCUUCCAAGUCAGAUGUGAAAGCCCCGGGCUCAACCUGGGAACUGCAUUUGAGACUGGGGGACUUGAGUUCGGGAGAGGAGAGCGGAAUUCCCAGUGUAGAGGUGAAAUUCGUAGAUAUUGGGAAGAACACCGGUGGCGAAGGCGGCUCUCUGGACCGAUACUGACGCUGAGGCGCGAAAGCGUGGGGAGCAAACAGGAUUAGAUACCCUGGUAGUCCACGCCGUAAACGAUGUGCGCUAGACGUUGGGAGACCUAGUCUCUCGGUGUCGCAGCUAACGCGUUAAGCGCACCGCCUGGGGAGUACGGCCGCAAGGUU